AGAUUGAGAAAGAAAAGAGAGAGAUUGACGGCCAGAGAUACAUAUUUUACUUUAGUAAGCCUUAUUCAAAGUCAUCAUGAAAAUCUUUGACUAGAGUAAUAAUUCUCCAGUACUCAUCCACACCAAAAUGUCUAAUUAUAAACUCUUCGUCCAUUUGUCCCUCUUCAAAUUCUAAAAGUGUCUUAAAUAUUACUUCACACACAGAUACCAGAAUGAAUUGCUACAGCAAUCAUAACUGUAUCACAUCCCACGAACUGUAACAGAUACUCAAGAAUUCAGGGAAGAGAAAAUAUGAGGGUAAAAAACAAUUAAAUGAUAAAUUAAUCGAAAUCAAUCUAGAAGAUGAAUAACAAAAACCAGAUGUACCUCUCCAUCGACAAUUAUGUCU
rnacentral:misc_RNA from 1 species